GUGCUCACUUCGGCAGCACAUAGACUAAAAUUGGAUUGAUACAGAGAAGAUUAGAAUGGCCCUUGCACAAGGAUUGGUAGUAGCUAUGAGAUUAUCCUCUUUUGU